UUUAGCGAUGGCGCUACAACACGCUACAGCAGGUCCGUUUGACAAGAAACACUUCUGUUACAGACACUUGUCUUACUUUGUUAAAGCGGUUUACCUGUCCAGCAGAAAGGUUACAGGGUCACCAAGAUCCCCAAGCGUCCCCCAUCGUUUAUGUUGACCCGGCUUUUUAGCUCUUGUCCGGUCUACCUCCGUUUUAAGCGCCCGUUAUUCCUCCAGAGUCUCCGGUAUUUACUUUGUUUUCUUGCUUGUGUCGGCAGUCGUGGCCAAAGGAGGAUUCAGACAAUUUUCCGAACUUUCUGGUUGGUUUCUACUGUCCGAUAUUGUAGCACGCUAACUUUGUUUGGGCUCCUGAACGACACGGGGGAGCAGCAUUUUCUUGUUGACUGUUUUCUUGUUGACUGUUUUCUUGCUGACUGUUUAUGGUUGACUGUUUUCUUGUUGACUGUUUUCUUGCUGACUGUUUAUGGUUGACUGUUUUCUUGCUGACUGUUUAUGGUUGACUGUUUUGAUGUUGACCGGUUUGGUGUUGACUGUUUUCUUGCUGACUGUUUUCUUGCUGACUGUUUAUGGUUGACUGUUUUCUUGCUGACUGUUUUCUUGUUGACUGUUUAUGGUUGACUGUUUUGAUGUUGACUGUUUUCUUGCUGACUGUUUUCUUGCUGACUGUUUUCUUGUUGACUGUUUUCUUGCUGACUGUUUUCUUGUUGACUGUUUUCUUGUUGACUGUUUUCUUGCUGACUGUUUAUGGUUGACUGUUUUCUUGCUGACUGUUUUCUUGCUGACUGUUUUCUUGUUGACUGUUUUCUUGUUGACUGUUUUCUUGCUGACUGUUUUCUUGUUGACUGUUUUCUUGCUGACUGUUUUCUUGUUGACUGUUUUCUUGUUGACUGUUUUCUUGCUGACUGUUUAUGGUUGACUGUUUUCUUGCUGACUGUUUUCUUGCUGACUGUUUUCUUGUUGACUGUUUUCUUGUUGACUGUUUUCUUGCUGACUGUUUAUGGUUGACUGUUUUCUUGCUGACUGUUUUGAUGUUGACUGUUUUCUUGCUGACUGUCUCUUCGCCGGGUCGUUUCGGUCUCCUCUCAUCUGCUGAUUCCCUCUCUCAGACUGAAGAGUAUGUUUCAGUCAGAGCUAACUGAAAAUAAUUCAUCACGGGGAGUCCUUUUAGCCGAUGCGGUAUGACAGCCUUUGGAGAGGCACAGACGGUGAUACUGAGAGCCAAACAGAGCGGGAACUUUUCGUCCUGUCGGGGAGAAAAGUUUAAUUAUUUCAGCUGGCAUGAAGUCCUUCGAGAACUGAUUCAUUGAUUUGAACCAAAAUCAAAUUUGUAAAAUUUUAUCAAGCAAAUGACAGUUUUUUACCUCAACUUUGAUACCAUUGUUUCUUUUUACUCUGAACAUCAAAAAUAACUCAGCGUGAUUUAGAAAAGGAUGUUUUUUUUGAGGAUUUUUGACUUCUGCCUCCUCGCUGGGUGAAGCCACUCUGAAAACAGCACCCUCUGGUGACUGGCUGCAGUACAGGUCAUCAGUAUAGGUUAUGAUGUUGACAUGUAGUUACUGUCAGACUGGUUUGUGCUCAAGUCCUCUUUUUUCUGUACAGCUCCAUUUUUAAAAGUUUUUAGGGGGUUCAUGUUUUCUAUGAUUGACACCUGAUACAGCCUAUGGGUGUGCAAAGAUUGCGUAGCUCUCCUGGGGGAUACGCUGUUCGAGCCGAGCGUCAUCACGGCGACUCUCCCGCUGAAUGCGCACAACGCUAAUGAGCAAUGUUGGUUUUAGGAAGUGGAGAGAAAAUAUGGAAUUACAGAGAACUUUUUGGGUUUUAAAAUCCAUAGUUUUGAUUGUUUUUUAUGUCUGCUUUGUUUUGUCUAUUUAUGAACAGCACUUUGUUCAGCUGUGGUUGUUUUAAAGUGCUUUACAAAUAAAGUUGAGUUGAGUACUGGCAGAGGGCGGAACCAAGUUGUCCAUAGUUUAUACAGUCUAUGACGAUAAUGUUAACAGUUCUCUCUUUGUAGAAGCAGUGUUGGUUUUUAGAAGUGAUUUGAAUGCGAUGACUUCUACUACAGAGUUGUGUCGGAUUCUGACUCUUUAAAUCGUAUUUUCCUCAGUAGACGAAAGACUCUUCCAAAUUCUUCAAAAUUUUACACCAAAAAUGAAAUUUCCUGAAAAUGUUGAACUUUCUGCUCACAAAUCUUGUCCCAUUUUUACAUCUGAUGGGACUCAGUCUCUCUUGAACGCCCCCUUCAUAUCCAGUCAUGUUACUAGCCUGCCAUUAGAAGAUCCUCUUUGGCAGUGGUUCUCAACUGGUGGGUCCCAACCAAAAAGUGGGUCGCGGAUGCGCUCUGGAUGGGUUGCGAACAGCUGGUCAAAAAAGUAAAUAUUUAAUGCGCAUCUAAUGUUUGACAUGUCUUUUAUUUUGAAAAAUACUUUUUUUUUUCGGUCUGCAUUAUGUUCAAUUUGAUAUUUGAUAUUUUCUGUAUAUGGAGCUUCAGUCGUUGUCUUCUUCAGUUCAUGUGCUCUGAUAUGAACUUUACUCAAUAAAAUGGGUGUAUUUAUGUUAAAGAUUAGAGUCUUAAAAGUUUUUUUUUUAAUAAAAAAAUAACUUUGCUUGAUUUGAAUUUUUAUAAAAGUUGGUCACGACUGAAGGAUCAUGGGAAAAUGUGGGUCCCAGAGUGAGACCAGUUGAGAACCUCUGCUUUAGGGAACUUUUUUUCAGUGUUUCUUGGUCUGUUUAUCAACUUUUUUUAAAACAUGUUUUUAGUAUUAUAUCUAAAAUGAACAUAUAUUGUUAAUUUAUCAGGAUUUUUUUUUUGUUUUCUCACCUGAUGUGUUGUAUUUUAGCUAAAUUCAGUAUUCAAAUGAACCGUAAACCAUCAAAAUCUGUUUUUAAUCAAAUCUUUCUUUCAGCACGUUUCUGAGUCUUUGUUCUGAGUAUUUCUGUUGUUCGUAAAGUAAACCUGCACAGAUCGGAGCUGAAAUGAUUUUCGUAAUCAUGAACUUUAUAACAAUAAGCCGAACUUUACAGGCUGCAGGUUGGCUUGUAAUUGGAUUUGGAGAGAGAUGUGCUCGUCUGCGAUUGUGUGCGUCGCUGAAUUUGGAGUCGUGACAGUUCACAUCUGUCUCUCUGCGCCUCUAUCUCUCUCACUCACACACACACUCACAGCGUUUCAGGAUGUGCCAGGAACACAGGGGGUCUAUACUGCUGUGUGUACGUGCAGGGUGAGAGUGUGUGUGUGUGUGUAUGAGUGUGUACAGAGGGUUUUCUGUGUGUGUGUGUAUCCAGGGCACAUUGUCUGGACAGGGAAAAUGAGAAUGGAUGGGAUUGUAAUUACUGAAUGGAGAUAUCCACACAGUGUGAAAUUAGAAAAGGCUGGGCGAAAACCUCCCACGGGCACCGCCGGUAAAGAGAGAGUAGUUGUCAUGGUGAUAGGUGAAUUCAAACAGGGCUCCACAAACCUUCAGGGGAAGAGGUGUGAAUGUGUGCGACUGAGUUUCUCCUCGAGGUGUGUGUGUGUGUGUGUUUAUGGAUUUCUUUUGCGUUGAAAGAGGAGAGAAAAGUUGCCGUGACCUUGAUAAAAACUCGCAGGAUUUACUGUUUUCAAUUUUUCCACAUUCAGAAAGGAGCGGCGUGAGUUACCUGGGCUGGAUGUGUGGGAGUGGGUCCCAGGGGCCGCGUUCAGGAGGGGACGGGCUGAGCGUGUCCCACAUCUGUCAAAAAGCGUGUUUUUUUAUUUUGUCCCCUAACUUUUACAGCUUUAUAACGAGAAUGACGCACAAACACUCCUCUGCAUCAUCGCCGCCGCCGCCGUCGCUGUUGUUUGCUCACGGUGAUGUCUGUUUUAUGAGCGGCAGAGAAACUUUCUCCUUUCUCUCCAGAUUAAAGCGGCAAUCUGUUCUCAGAGCCUUUAUAUGAAAAUAAUCGGUAAAUAACUGGAUUAAAAUCUAAUCUGUGAAGGACAAUAAGAGAGAAAAGGGAUAUCGACAAAUUCCUGUUUUCUCCAGAGCGAUCUUCCUGAGCGGUGCGAACAUUCGGACACGACAAAGAGACGUUACAGUCGUGUUUCAGAUCUGCACAAAACAUCCAGGUUAAGGUCGAUAAAAUCUUUCUUUCUUUCUUUCAUUCUUUUUGUUUGUUUGUUUCUUUGUUUGUUUUUCUUCUUUUCUUUCUUUUUUCUUUCUUUCCUGUUUCUUUUUUCCAUCCUUUGUUUCUUUUUCUCUUUCUAUCUUUCUUAUUCUUCCUUCCAUCCUUCCUUCUCUUUCUUUCUUUCUUUCUUUCUUUUUCUUUCUUUCUUUCUUUCUUUCUUUUUUCUUUCUUUCCUGUUUCUUUUUUCCAUCUUUUGUUCCUUUUUCUCUUUCUAUUUUUCUUAUUCUUCCUUCCAUCCUUCCUUCUCUCUUUCUUUCUUUCUUUCUUUCUUUUUUCUCUUUUCUCUCCUCUCUAUCUAUCUUUUUUCUUUCUUUCUUUCUUUGUAUUCUUCUUUUCUUUCCUUCUCUUUUCUGUUUUUCUUUCCUGUUUUUUUUCAGUCUUUGUUUCUUUUUCUCUUUCUAUCUAUUGUCUUCUUUUGUCUCUUUCUUUCUGUCUUCCUUAUUCCUUCCUUUCCUUGUUCUAUCUAUCUAUCUAUCUAUCUCUUUUUUUUCUUCUUUCUUUCUUUCUUCUUUCUUUCUAUCUUUCUUUCUACUUGCUUUCUUUCUUCUCUUUCUUUCAUUCUUUUUGUUCCUUUCUUUCUUUGUUUGUUUUUCUUCUUUUCUUUCUUUUUUCUUUCUUUCCUGUUUCUUUUUUCCAUCUUUUGUUUCUAUCUAUCUAUCUAUCUAUCUAUCUAUCUAUCUAUCUAUCUAUCUAUCUAUCUAUCUAUCUAUCUAUCUAUCUAUCUAUCUAUCUAUCUAUCUAUCUAUCUUUCUUUCUUUCUUUCUUUCUUUCUUUCUUUCUUUCUUUCUUUCUUUCUUUCUUUCUUUCUUUCUUUCUUUCUUUCCUUCCUUCCUUCCUUCCUUCCUUCCUUCCUUCCUUCCUUCCUUCCUUCCUUCCUUCCUUCCUUCCUUCCUUCCUUCCUGACACCCAAACAUUUGACAGGAAGUUACUCUAGCUCGUUCAGUCUUGUUCCGAUUUCACGUUCAUGAUCCAGAUCUGCCCCAGAACAAAUCCAUGAGCCCAUUUCUCAAUUUCAGUCAUAGCGCCACCUUGUGAAAACACAAACAGCGUCCACCCUGAUCGGGGUUUCGCAGGUUUGAUUCGCCUCGUUAAAACCUUCUUAACCUUAAAUCUUUAUAUUUUUAAUGUCGGACUAACAGAACGAGUCCAAUCGAUCGUAACGUGGUCAAAGUUAAAACACCGUCCUUCUGCCAAGCUGUUUAAAGAGCUCCUCUCCAUGUUUUGUUCUUCCUAAUCAAUAAGAAGUAUCAGUAAAUUAGUUCAGCAUUAAACCUGGAGACUUCCCAUUAUAUUUAUAACUAAUUCAGAGCUGCGUCUGCCAUGAUAACCACAGUUUCUGUGCAGUAAGUCUUUCUUAACGACGGCAGAGAUGACAGACUUCCCCUCUGUUGACAGACGCAUCAGGGCAGGAUGGAAAUAAAGAUAGACCCGGUUCACUGAGGAGCCACUAUUCAGCGUAUGUGGCUGUGGCGGUAUCUUGGAGGAGAUUUCAGCGAGAGCGAGCGCUGAAAAAAACGUUGGCAGCGAGCCACCGCCAACCCUGACUGCAUUACGUAACCAGGAGCUGGAGACAGGGAGGAGUAGAUUCCUUUGUCAGGGUUCAAAGUGCGCUGUGAGGAGAUAAUGGCCUCCUUUUAUCAGGCCACCAUAGUAAUGAGCUUGUUCAUCACCUCAGGGAGGAGAGGGUAGGAAAAGAGGAGGAUGAGGGGUUUCAGAGGGGGAGGAAGGCCGAGGAAUGCCCAUCCAUCAGGCACCCGACCCAGAGUCUGGCUGGAGCUCCGGCCCCCUCAAACCCCCAGACCUCUUCAUCACUGUCUGUGUACAGAGGGGUUGUAAAAGCCAUCCAGCCCUCGGUGGAGGAGGAGGAGGAGUCCACAGUGUGACUAUAGAAGGACCGAAGUCCACCAUCCAACAGACGAGUUUAACCUUUCAGGGACGGGCGGGGGGUCAGAGGAGAAACCAGGAUUCUUCAGGGAUAAUCCAGAGUCUGGAUUAAAGAGGGUUGAUGGAGAUGUUUAACUUUACAAAUGUACGAACUUCAAAUCGUUUAAAUCCACUAAUGAUGGGAGGAUCAGUUCUUUUGACUGAAUCUUUAGAAUCAGUUCAUUAAAACGAUUCAUUCAAAAGAUUCGUUCACCAAAUCAGUCAGUUCUUCGGAGCCCCGUCCUGCCAGUGCGGUACACAAGUGAGCGACACAGCGGCGAGUUCGUGCAUUGAACGAGCCCCUCCCCUCCCCUGCUGCCGAAGUCACACAGCCGCGUUCACUGAGUGACACAUGUUGUUCAUUCGCUCAACCCCCAAUUUCCACCGCAUCUGGAAGGGCUACGAAAAGGCCGUAUCCGCCGAUCGUAGCUGAUCUUAACCAUUCAAGUUAACGUGUCCAUUUCCUGCUGCAGAUCACGGGACUCCACAGCUGAUCGCAUGAGUUUAAUUUUUUCCAGAAGGGUCUUUAGACGUCAUUUCACCCCGAUGACACCAUGUUUGAGGAGAUGCUGAUUCUAGAAGUCUAGUCUGAGAAAGGAACAAAUCAGGUCUCAGAGGGAUUCAGUUCACGUCGUCCACUCAGCAGUUCUUUUGAACGUUCAUGAGCGACACGACCAAAUUCCCAACAUGUCAGCCUGGUGAGUCUGAGAAAAGCAGCAGGACUCGGUCUGAGCUGGAUCUGAAUAAGACCAGCUGGAAGGUUCCCAGGUGACAGGGACUUGACAGACGACCAUCCUCAUGUGGGGUCACUGACCUCCACUUUCCUUCUGGUUUAACAAGAACUCUCCCUCCUCCUCCUCCCCCGUCCUCCCCCUCCCAGGGCCACAGGACACACAAGCUCUGAGGGGGGGAGGGAGGAGCAUGAGUGUGUGUUUGUGUUUGUGUUUGUGUACAUGUGUACGUGUGUUGAAACCCGGCUCAGGGGCAGAUCUUGUUCUCCUGGUCGACCUUGAAUGUCCUCAUUCAUCUCAGGGACGGCUCUGAGUGUGGACACGGCGUCAGAUGACGAGAGGGUCUGAGCGUUGAACAUGAUUACAGUUUUAUUCACGAUCAGACCGUCAAGAUAAACCUGUAAAUGUGGCGGUUUCAUCAAAGCUUACAGCGCCAGACGUCUGGAGAUUCAAUGAACCUUUUCUUCACAUCCCAACAACAAAAUUCAAUUAAUGCAAUUUUUUUGUCGUUUCGUCGUUUGUUCCUUGAUUUAACAACAAGGCGGGUUACCGUGAACUGAGUUGCGCUUCUGGGAUUAAUGAAGUUGUCUGAAUCUGAGACUGACAGAAGCCGAAGAGCGAACCCCUCAGGAACUGGACUAACAGGUUGUUGUCGGUCUGGUCAGUCGGAGCCUCUAGACCAGGUCACAUUAGUUUAGUGAGGGUUAAAAUGACCAAUAAGGAGGAGCUCACACUAGAUCAGUCGACUUCUUUCAUGUACAAUAAAAAGACAAAGAAGUAGGAAAGUCAGUCCAGGAAACGUCCUUAAACGUCUUUAAAUCUGGGCAGGACCAGAACAGAGCGGAUAUCGGAUUAUACAGAGGAGAUACUCAGCACUGUUUCACCAAAAAGACUAAAAUAACUUCUACAAAGUGAAAAAAAAGCUUAUAAAGAUACUCCAUGUGUAACAAAAGCACUAAAGCUGUUAUAUAAAAGUCAAAAUUCACCAGUUGGGCGAUUUUACCAACAUAUGGAUAAUGUUGAGGGAACUCCAGCUGAGUUUGUUUUUCUUCAGAUGAUCAUUUUAACUGAUUAACUAUUAAACAAAGAGGCAAGUUCACUAAAUAGGAGUCGUUACACAUUUAAUAUUUGCACCGAUCAGGAUUUGUAGUUUUAUGAAAUGCGUGAACCCUAAAUUUCCAAGAAAUGUAGAAAAACUUGGUGAUGUUUAACCCCUCCAUGAGACACAGCUAUGAGGUGAACAACGACAAACCCUCAAAAAGGAUUUAUCAGUACAGGUCCUGCUAAUUAAAGACCAACCUGACUGAGAGACUGAGACUCCAGCUGUCUCCACAUCAGGUCUUUGGUCUUUAAAAAUUCAGCUGCUCCUGUUAGUUUCAGACCCAUCAGGAAGACACAAACUACAGCGGGGUGCCGCAGCUCAAGGAAGAACAUUUAUGAUCAUUUCUUACAAUCAGAAAUACAAUCAGACCGAGACGCUAAGGCAGAAGAACUACCGCGUCUGUAAAAUGAUUAAUAUGGUGAUUAUUACUUUAAGAAAAUAAUAAAGAAAUGAUCAUAAAUGUUCUUCGUUGAGCUGCGACACCCCGCUGUAGUCCGUAACGGACUGGCCUGAGGUCUCUACAAACAAGCAGCUGCUGGAAGAGAGUAGGUGAGUUGUAUUUAGUCUCUUAGUCAAAGUUAAAAAGAUGUUUGGUGUCUAGUACUAUGUCUGUGACCCUAUAUGUCCUGUUGAUGAAGUUAGGUGCUGUUCUGAGCAUUAUUUGUGGCUAUAGAGUGGCGUUUUGGUUGGGGGCGUGGCUCUCUGUAUUUCUAUCCUGCGGUCGUUACUAAAGUUGGUAUAACUAGAGAAGCAAGCGGUCGACAACUUUCAUCUCUGGAGGGGGGGUCUAACUCGGUGUUACGGUGUGUUUGACCCUAAAUUAAUUUAUGCCGGAAUUGUAUAAAUCAGCGGUCAUCGUCUCGUCUGCGUUUUUGCCACAUGGUUAAUGUGAAACCGUGCACGCCCCCCCUCCCCUUAAAAAACUCGUGGAUCGACUUUUCCCACUAAAUUGUCCAAAACCAGAGGAGCAUGCUCGUCUUUAAUUCUGCACACAGUGGGACGCCUGAUAGCUCUGGAGUAAGAGAAAAUAAAGCCAUUGGAGUCUGUCACAGUCAUGCAUAUUUAAUUGAUAUAAAUGAUGUUAUUGUGUCCACAGAAUAAUUGACAGAGCUGCCAUGCAAAUUUAGACUCUGCCCAAUUCCCAAAGCGACUCUCCUGGACUGUUGCAGAUCCUCCGUCGUCUUAUCGCCGGAGAAAAUAAAAGCGUUUUUAUUCACAAAUAUCAGGUAAAGAAAAAAAAGACUUCUCUCUUAUUUGAUUUGAUUUUGUCUUUUGCAGUCUCUCUUAUAUCCCAACAUGUUUAUUUUAUUACUCUGCAUGGUUUUUAGUUCGGGCAAUUUGAAUUAAAAUACCAAUAAACAUCUUUGAAAGGGGGGAAAAAAAACUCUUGAGAGUGCUUCAAUUAUUUCUGGGCUUUGGGGCACGGAGCGUGGCAGGCUCGGUGGAGCGGCGUUAAAGCUGGAGCACUUUGUGCUUGCAAUCGGAGAUGAAGAGGCUAUUUGUCUGUGUAGUGUGCAGAGCUCUUAUCGGGGAUUUGUUUGCGGCACAACUUAAUUUGCAUAAAUUUCUUGGAGAGUAAGAUGAAAACUCGGAGCACUUGGCUGGAGCAGGAGGAACAGAUUGUCCUCACGAUGCACAUUCCACCAAACAGCUCACAGUCGUCGCUGUUAUGUCAAACUCCAAAUCAAGCUUUACAUGCAAACGUCCUGAUCAGGAAAACGGUUCGAGGGAAAGACGAAUGAUCUCAUGAAGGAGCUGACUGAGGUGGUGUUCACGUUAACUACAGAAACGGAAGUUAAAGUGGCGAUGUGGCGCACCUUCGCAGUAUGAGAGCCUGUUGCAGCUGUAAGUUAAGACUAACUCAGGAUUUCCACUGCAUUCGGAACAGCGGCUUUUUCGCCGUACGCCAGUCCCUACCGGAUCCAUUUGUGAGGCGAAAUUCAUGGCGGAUUACAGACGGAAGGAAUUCACGCGGAUUCAUGUGCAAUCGCAUGAUAACAAGUUGUCUUUAGCCACAUAGACAUAUAAGCAGUAGAUUGUGUCCUUCCAGAGGAGGAAAUCUACUUCUAGACUUCUAGAAUCAGCAUCUCCUCAUCCAUGGUGUCAUCGGGGUGAAAUGACGUCUAAAAACCUUUGACUUCGGUUUCCUCUGCUUGUUUGCAUGAUGUGAAAUACAAUCCUCCUGUUUUAUUUUGAAAAGAAGCCGGAUGUUUUAUUUUGUGUCUGUGCCCGACUUCCUUUCCAGCACGGGUUAAUCUGUGCUGAAUUUAUCCGCCAUGCUCCGGCGUCCAGAAAAAAUAGAACUCUUGUGAUCAGCUGAGGAGUCCGGCGAUCAGCAGAGGAACAGAAAGAAGUCGGUGUAAAUCGACACGUUAACUUGAAUGGAUAUGAUCAGCUAUGAUCGGCAGAAACAACCUUUUCGAAGCUGUAUGCAGUAGAUACUACAUACUGAGUUCUGUGUUUGAUAGUAGUAUGCAGUAUGACCACAAGUCGGCCGUUAUUCUGUUGGUUUCUCGUAUGGAAAAGUAAGUCGUACUCUGGUAAAUUACGUCACUACAGUGUUGCACAUUUUUUUACACACUCAAAAAAAAUAUUUUAUGUGUUUUAAUUUGAUUUUUUGGAGAUUUGUUUUUAGCCUAAUUCCAGCCAUCAAAACGUGUUCUGUCUCUGCAAUGACUCGUCGAUCUGGUGGCAUUUGUUUCUCCAGUGUUCCUAGUAAGAGUUUGCAGCAGGUGAGUUUGCUGCCUCUAAUGACUCUGGAGCUCCUCUCAUGCAGGGAGCCUGGAGAGUCAGAGAGGGAUUAUUUUCCAUAAAUCUUAAACUCAGAUUAUUAAAUCGUCUAUGUUGAUUCUUUGGUCAAGACUAAAAAAUGCUUUAAUUGUUAAUAUGGACUCUAAAACUGUCUGAAAUGCAGAAUAAUCAUAGUUUAGACGUGUAUUUUCAUGACUGAAGCUAAAACCAAAACAAAAAAAACGUUGGACAGACUUUUUCAUAACAUAAGGCCAUAAAUCGACAGUAUACACUCAUUAUUCUCCAGGUUAUCCCCUCCAAACAUGAGCUCAGGAUCAGCCAGAUGUUUUUAAUGGGGACUCGAAGCCAGAAGACAUUCGCCCGUGUUGAAGGAAGGAAGGAAGGAAGGCGGAG